GGCGGGCGUGGCCAAGUCGGUUAAGGCAAUGGGUUGUGAUUCCAUCAUUCGCGGGUUCAAGUCCCGUCGUUCGCC
rnacentral:tRNA from 1 species